ensembl:lncRNA
ACUUUGGGAGGCUAAGGUGGGUGAUCACUUGAGCUCAGGAGUUCAAGACCAGCCUGGGCAACACAGUGAAACCCCUUCUCUACUAAAAAUACAAAAAUUAGCUGGGUGUGGUGACAUGCCCCUGUGGUCCUGGCUACUUGGGGGGCUGAGUCAGGAGGAUCGUUUGGGCCCAGGAGGCAGAGGAGCAGACUGCACUACAGCCUGGGCAACAGAAUGAAGCUGGGCCUGUUUGUAGUCAUUCACAUCAAGCAUCACAAUCAGUGAUGAUAUUUGAGUUGAUAACAUAGAUGCAAAAUUCUAAUCUUCAAAAAACAUUGAGUAAUUAUAAGAAUUGAAGAAAACAAAGCCCAUAUUUUCUAGAUCUAACAGUGAGUUAAACAGCAAAUUCAAUUUACCGGCAUCUCUUCCCUCCAUCCCCUGGGCAUUCUUUGUAGCUGAGGGCUGCCUAUGGGCUGCUGAGCAUUGGUGCUGAGAGGAUGCAGGAGAGAAUAUAUUGAAUCUGGUGGCGGGAGGCCAUUGUACCGCUGUGGGAAACUUGAAGGAAACAGUCUCUGUUUGCCAUGCAUCUCUGCAGCAUACCCAUUCAGAAUUUCCUAAUUAAAGGGCCUCCAGUUCCAUGCUGAACAGGAAAAUCAACUAUUCUGCCCAGGUCAAGGUGGAAUGUGAUAUAACUCAAAUAGAACAGGGAAAUGUCCAUAAACACAAACAAGUCCUCCAUCCUAUCAGAGAGGAAUAACCACCCCAUAAAACAAGUGAUUAAUGUUGAACCAAAGGGAUAACAAAGUACCUGAGCUAUGGACCAGUUGCAAAGGCUUUGAAGCAUGGUGAAAUAAAUAUGAACUCUUCUCCUUCACACCCACGGGAGUAAGUGCUUGCCCAAUCCUUUGGGAAAUGUAGUUAGAUGUGAUAAUCACAUAUACAUGAGUGAAACCAUGCAAGGUUCCCAAGAGGAAUCUAUCUGACAUAAUCACAGGUUCCAUUGCAAAGUACUUUGGCAGCUACAAACAGUUUCCCCAUACUUAUUUCAUUUAAUUUUCAGGGUAACCCUGUGAAAUGGCCAAGGGAGGUUUUAAUAUCUCUGUUUUUACAGAUGAGGAAACUGAGGCUUAGAGGAAUGAAAUGACUUCCUUAAGGUCACAUAGCAAAUUAGUAGCAGAGCCAGGAUUUGAGUGCAGAUCUGUGGGCCACUGGGUGAGUGGCGGGAGAGGGGUCUUGCUCUACUUUUGGCAGUCUUCCAGUAAGAUUGUCCAUCUGUUGCCUUAAUGGUGAUAUGGAUGCAAGCUGCUUUUGCUUGCCGUCCCUGGCCCUGCCCCUGGCCUUACCUUUAAGCUGUCCCUAGCUCCCAGAAUAUUCUACCAUCUUGCUUCACAAAGUGUGGUUACCUAGUGAGGUAAAGCACAGCACAAGCAUGAGCAGGGAGUAUGUUAGGGGAGCAGAAUUCACCCCACCCCAUCCCUCCAGACCCAGAUCCCCAGGUGGUACCUAAGCACAAACAAGUUCAAGAAGCACUGACCGUCCACAUUUGCCCAUCAGGGCCUGCCUGACACUCCAAAGCAGCUUCUUUGCCCUUCUCCCAGAUCCAAACACUCUGAGGCCUGAACAACAGUUACACUAAUUUCCUCCCUCCUGGAACUUCCCCUUACACCUGUCCAAGGUUCUGUGGCCUCCAAAGUACUCCUCAGGCCUAUUCAGUUCUCCUCAGUCUCCUCACAAAAAUACCCAAAGAGCCCUCAGCAAGGCGUGUUCUCCUGAGGCAACAGCUGACUCCACUGUCUGCUCUAAGAGGGCACCCUACAACCUCUCCUUGGUGUAAUCAAGGAGAACAAAUUUGAGUGUUUACUUUUCUUCACUAGAGAAUCUGUGGCAGAAAUAACAAAAGACACUGGCAACAAAUGGAAGGGAGUGAUGAGGUGGAGUGCAAUUAAUCCACAGGCUGGAAGAACUCCUGAUAAUCGAUCAAUCAAUCAAUCAGGAGUUAGUUUUGUGAGAGAAAGAGAGAAGAUAACUUGAAUAAGUUACUCUCUCUCGCUCUUCAUCCUCCUCCCCACUGCCUCAAACUUUAAGAAAGUUACUUUUAAUAUUAUUAUUAUUUUGAAAUGGGGUCUUUCUAUGUUGCCCAGGCUGGUCUUGAACUCCUGGUUUCAAGUGGUCCUCCUGCCUUGGCCUCCCAAGUGGCUGGGAUUAUAUGCAAAAGCAAAAACACCUGACAAGAAACUUCCUUUUAAGAGCACAGGUAGGCCGGGCGCGGUGGCUCAAGCCUGUAAUCCCAGCACUUUGGGAGGCUGAGACGGGCGGAUCACAAGGUCAGGAGAUCGAGACCAUCCUGGCUAACACGGUGAAACCCUGUCUCUACUAAAAAAUACAAAAAAAAAA